UUUUGGUGAAUCCUGCCAGUAGUUAUAUGCUUGUCUCAAGGAUUAAGCCAUGCAUGUUUAAGUACAAACAAAUUGAAAGUCAAACCGCAAAAGGCUCAUUAUAUCAGUUAUGGUUUCAUAGAUCUUUAAGAGUUACUUGGGUAACUGUGGUAUUUCUAGAGCUAAUACGAGUAUAUGCAAAAUAAACACGGUCCUUUUGGAACGUGUUCUUUUAUUAGGCUAAAAAAAAACACGCCAUCGUUUGAUCGUUACAUUGGUUGAACUCUAGCUAACUUGCAGAUCCUAUGUUCUCGUACUGACGAUAGAUCUUUCAAAUGCCUUCCCGAUCAACUUUUGAUGGUAGUAUCUAGGAUUACCAUGAUUGCAACGGUUAAUGGGAAAUCAGGGUUACAUUCCGGAGACGAAGCCUGAAAAACGGCUACCACAUCUAAAAAAGGCAGCAGACAUGUGAAUUACUCACUCCCAGUUCGGGAGGUAGUUACGAAAAAUAACAAUACAGAACUCAUAGCCAAGUCCCUGUGAUUGGAAUUAGUACACUUUAAGUAAUUUAACAAGGACCUAUUGGAGGACAAGUCUUUUUUUUUAUUUAUCAAGAACGAAAAUGUGAGGUUCGAAGGCGAUUAGAUAGCGCCCAAGUUCUAACCAUAAACGAUGCUACCUAUCAAUUGGGUGUAGCUACUAAUAUGGCUCUCUCAGUCGCUUUCCGGAAAACCAAAGCUUUUGGGCUCCGGGAGAAGUAUGGUUGCAAAGCUGAAACUUAAAGGAAUUGACGCAAGGGCACCACCAAGAGUAGAGCCUGCGGCUUAGUUUGACUCAACAUGGGAAAACUUACCAGUUCCGAAUAUAAGCAUGUAAGACAGAUUGAUAACUCUUUCACGAAUCUAUGGGUAGUGGUGCAUGCCCGUUCUUAGUUCGUGGACUGAUUUCUCUGGUUAAUUUCGAUAUCAAACCAUACUCAAAUGUAUUAAAUAGAUGCUUUUAUAAUUUGUUAGCUUAUAAAGUCUUCAUUCAUGCACAAUGUACAAGUAAUUGAAUGUGUUUAUGUUAUAUGAAAGGAGUCGUACCUGUUGGUUUGUCCUAUUAUAAGGACACUAGCUUCUUUAAUGGACAAAUUGCGUCUAGCAGUAACGAGAUUGAGCAUUAACAGUUCUGUGAUGUCCUGCGCCACCACUUUCAUGUUUGGGCUUGUGAAUUGAGACUGUUUACAUGAACUUGGAGUUCCCAAUAAGUGUGAGUCAUUAACUCGCAUUGAUUGCGUCCCUGCCCUUUGUACACACCGCUUAUCGAUACCACUGAUUGAAUCAUUUAGUGAGGUCUCUGAACGUUAUCGCUAUAACGCCUUGUGUAGGAGCACCUACGGAAGGAUCAUUAUUCUGUUCCUAUCUAAAAAAAAAAAUACUUAUAUAAGAA
rnacentral:rRNA from 1 species